CUAUACUGGGGAACAUAUUCCAGCUGAGAGAAUCAAAUGUUGCAUUAUCAGAGCAGGUGAGGCAACUGACUUUGGCUCAGACCACCCAAAGUCAAAGCAGAAACCAUCGUCAGAGACGUGACUACCAUGACCCAGAUCAGGGAGGAGAUGGUCAUGGAGGCCAGCAGUGAGACACACCAGCCAUUUAAGAGUCAUAUGCGAAGAAAUGAAGCAAAAUAGAUGAAAAAUUGAAGAAAUGGAGUAGUUUACACUCAAGGCGACCACCAUGGAAUUCACCAAAGAGGUGGCCAU